rnacentral:rRNA from 1 species
GAUGAACGCUGGCGGUAUGCGUAACACAUGCAAGUCGAACGGGUGUCUUCGGAUCUAGUGGCGGACGGGUGAGUAACGCGUGAGAAUCUGCUUUCAGGAUGGGGACAACAGUUGGAAACGACUGCUAAUACCCGAUAUGCAGCGAUGUGAAAGAUUUAUCGCCUGGAGAUGAGCUCGCGUCUGAUUAGCUAGUUGGUGUGGUAAAGGCGCACCAAGGCGACGAUCAGUAGCUGGUCUGAGAGGAUGAGCAGCCACACUGGGACUGAGACACGGCCCAGACUCCUACGGGAGGCAGCAGUGGGGAAUUUUCCGCAAUGGGCGAAAGCCUGACGGAGCAAUACCGCGUGAGGGAGGAAGGCUCUUGGGUCGUAAACCUCUUUUCUCAGGGAAGAACAAAAUGACGGUACCUGAGGAAUAGGCAUCGGCUGACUCUGUGCCAGCAGCCGCGGUAAUACAGAGGAUGCAAGCGUUAUCCGGAAUGAUUGGGCGUAAAGCGUCCGUAGGUGGUUAUGUAAGUCUGUGGUUAAAGCGUGGAGCUCAACUCCAUAAGGGCCAUGGAAACUACAAGACUAGAGUCAAGUAGGGGUAGAGGGAAUUCCCAGUGUAGCGGUGAAAUGCGUAGAGAUUGGGAAGAACACCGGUGGCGAAAGCGCUCUACUGGACUUGUACUGACACUGAGGGACGAAAGCUAGGGGAGCGAAAGGGAUUAGAUACCCCUGUAGUCCUAGCCGUAAACGAUGGAUACUAGGUGUUGCCCG